ACACACACACACACACACACACACACACACACACACACACACACACAAUUAUGUACUACAGGACUACAAAACAACAUGGCAGACUAGUCCUCCAUCUUAGUUCAUACUGAUUAUUCUUUUGAUUCACGUGUCUGCCUAUCUCAGUUUUUUUUAUGCUCCUUCUCUCCCUUCCUCUCUCCCCGCUUCUCUCUCUCUCUUUCCCGCCACCUUCUCCACUCUGCGACCAGCAUUUGGCUUUUUCCACUUGUGGCAGAUUACUGUAAGGCUAUUGUAAAACAACUUCCUGCCUCUUUUGGCUCUGGUUACAAAAAACGGCAAAGGCUGGGCUCACGCGUCUCCCCCUCUCUCUCCCCGAAGUAUCAGAAGGUCUAAAAAGAGAGAAAGCCAGAAAAAGGAAAAGUGUAAAAUCUCUGUCUCCUCUUGAGGACUUAUUUUGAUGCCUUGUGUCUUUAAUGCCACAUGAGAAGUAAAGGAGGAGAGCAGGGGACUGCAUGCCUAGCAGAACGGAAAGAACAGCACAGCAACACCGGACCGACUGGAGGCUCCUCCGCUAGCUCACUCCGAGGACUCUCUCCUCUCCUCCUCUCUUCAUGACAAGGUUCAAUAAGACACAGGUGGCCACAUUCAAUGGACCUGCAGAGGGAAAAAACAUUGUUUGUAUUUACUUACUGAAGACAUGGUGCAACCAAGUUCGGGCGUUAUUAACAGUCUCUCUAGUCUUCUUUUUUAAAAAUGACACAAAAUGGGUUGGAUGUGUCUGCAUUGGAAUGAGCUAGAACCCUAAAACCCUAGAACCCAAUCCAAAGCACCGCAGCCUCACGUCACAUCUCGCCAUGUGUUUUAACCAAUUGAAAAACUCACGUCUUUGCGUUGAAACAUAUAGGUAUAAACAUACAGUUUGUGGAUAAUGUAGAUAUAUAUUAAGAAUAUGUAUUUUUGUAUGCACAAUCCUGCUCAGUUUCAGUAGAGGACAGACAGUAGGGAAAAUGGACAUGGAACUAUGAAUUUGUUUUAGUUGUUGGUUUGGAACGGUCUGUAGUAAUAAUUUAGCUUAGUGUGCACGUAGCACAGCAUUUGCAAGAAGUUCACUUGAGGAUAGGGUUUUGGUUUUGGGAGGAUGCCAACUUUUACGACUGCAUGCCUCUACCUCGUUCCCCUCUUCUCUACUCUGGUUGCAUUUGUCUGUAAUGAAUUAUAUUUAAAAAUGUAUUUAUAUAUGUAAUUAUAUAUGUAAUUGUUAUAUUUUAAGUUGUGUUUUAGAAUUAUAAAUUACUUUAACCAUGCUUUCUUUAAACACAUUUCAAAUAAUAAAUUAAGCCAUUUUAAGAUGGCACGUUUUAUUAUUUUUUUAACUUAGAUAUUUUUUAAGGAAUGCUUUCUUACACGGGUGUGUAUAAGAACUUUACAACAAUACCAUUGAAAAAACAUGUCCUAGUACUGCAGAAAAAAAGCUUAGAGGGAGGACAGGGAGGUAAAUGUAACUAUUCCUUCUUUAGUAUAUUUGAAGGGAUUUCUUAACCCUAUUGUUAAUAAUUACGAUAUGCUAUGGAAUGCUUUGUAUCUGAAUCAGCAUUAACUCUUAGAAUCUUUAGAUAAAAUCACAAGAUGAAAUGGUUAAUAAAAUUUAAAGUAAAUAUCCAACCUGUUAGUCAAAGCUAUGUUCCUGGUUUUGAAAUGCUACAAAUCCACAUAACUCACUACAGUGGAUGGUGAAGGAGAGAAUGAUCAGAGUCGGAAGUUAACUAACACGUCAGUAAAUGUGGCUUAGCUAUCGACACGUGAAUACCGAUUCAGUCAUUCAGUCCUAUUCGAGGAAAUGUUCAUUAAAAUGGCGGACGCUGCCAUGUCAUUUGCAGGCUUCAUUCGGAAUUGGAACGUAUUGUGAUACAUUCAAAACUUAACCUUGCUUAAUAAAAUGUAUUCCCGUACUACACAUUUUGUCAAAAGUGAACUACAAUGACUCCAGGAAAAAUCCUCACACAUUUAGUUUCUGUCUUUUAACCCUUAAAUUGACAAGAUGGUUAUACAUUUGUAAGGAAGUAUUUGGAAUAACAAACUUAUAAUUCAACAGAAAAAAUUAAGCACAAUCAAUAUGAAAAUUGCUAUGUGGUCUUAGAUAACUUAAAAUCUAUGACAAAACAACUAAAAUAGUAUCCAACAAUUUCAUAUGUAGUUGCUGUACAGAUUAAUAAAUACAUUCAAUGUUAACCACUAUGUAUAAUAUAUAUGGUAAAAACAGAUCAUGCAAAUAUAAUUUUCUCCAACUGGUCCAUCAGAAAAUUACAAGUUUUGUUAGUAUGCAUGUUGGAUCUUAUCAUGGUAAACAAAAAAUAUGUAAUACAUCAAAUGUUUAUUUUGGGAUAAUAAGAAUUCCUGAUCAUGCAAAAUGUAGGCUGUGGAUUCUCACUUCUUGCUUUUCUCAUGUGUUAUGAGUAAUGAACUAAAUAAAAGGGUCAGUCAAGGGAAGAUCAAACUAAAUGCAACAUAUUAUCUUUGCAAAAGAACGACAAGAUAGAUCUAUGUACAACACUACGUCUUUAUUUUCUGCACAGGGGGCAUAAUCAUGGCAUUCUCUGAUUUAUCUCAUUGAAAUGUCUUUUUUUUGCCUCACUUUAAAACGUUUUGUGCUCCAUCAUUUUUAGACAUAAUUUGGAAUCACAGAGUAACAGUCACAAGGUCUCUGUAUUUUCAAAGCUGUCAUACCUAACACUUGGUAUUCCAUGUAGGUCACAUAAGGAGAGUCGAGGACACAUGUUUAGGAGCCUGUUUGCUUGUCUUUAGUGUCUAGAAACACAGGAAACAGCCAGGAAAGGAAGGCUGAGGAAUAUGAAAUUGCAGUGGGCAGUAGCGCCGCAUAGGCAAACAUGAUCUACACUCCUUUACCCAUUAACCACCAACAGGAGUACAAGCCAGAUUUCUGACUGUGCAGGAUCAGAAACUGCAAUGCAUCAGGAUACCAGGCACAUACAGCUGACACAUCAGACAGAAACAAUUGAUAUUCUAUAGCAGGGUUCCAAAACAGGUGGCCUGCGGGCCAACUUCGGCCUUCGGGUGAUUUUAUUUUAUUUUUCUGAUCAAAAAUAAUAAAAAUAAUAAUACAAAAUAAAAAUUAUAUAAUUUAUAUAAUUUUCAUUGUUGGACAUAAAAGACUGUAAAAUCACCAGGACAUCAGCUUAAAGUGAUUUUAAUUGAGAAAAUCUGUUCCCAAGUAUUCCCACGCAUAAACAGAGGCAUACAGUAUGUGAUCGUAUCCCAAUGUUAUCAAGGUUUGAAAUGAUUCUGUUUUUGUCAAAUACUAUGUCUGUUUGGGAUUAUUGCGGUCAAUUUGCAGUCUACAAAUGAUUUGUAAACAUGUUCCCCCCACCUGACCAUCCACUCAAGGAAAAAUUGGCCUGUGACUGAAUGUAUUAGGGACCCUGUUUUAAAGGAAGCUAAUCAGGAGGAUAGCACCAACCCACAAGGCCGGAUGGCCCUACGUACACAGGGAUGAAAGACUUGGACUCCCUCUCUAGGAACAGGGGCCGAGUGAGUCUAUGAGGUGGUCUUGCUUCAACCCGGCACGUGUCUAAACAACUUCUCUAUUACACCUGACCUCUGAGGGCACUCCCCAUCGAGCAGGGAACAAAGGCCAUGACCCGGGGGUCAAAAGUGUUAUACGGGAGGCCCAAUGAGGAACCCAGUGCUGUUUGCUUUAAGAAGGUAAAGAUGACUAACACAUUAACUAAUGCUGAAUAGGGGAUUAUCCCCGAGGGACGUCACUCACAGGGUCUACACAUCACGUCUUAUUAACACCCCUGACCUCUGGCCCGUCACCUCAGGCAGCUGACUGCGACCGCCACUCUCCCUCUCUGUCUAUGUGUAAGAAUAACACAUGCACGCACGCACACACACACACACACACCACACACACACACACACACACACACACACACACACACACACAACAAGACGGUGGUAGGGAUGGGUGCAACGUUGCUUGAAAAAAGUUUUUACAAUCACUAUAAUGAAUUACUGAGUAUCAAUUCUGAAUUACAAACAGUAAUACUUAAUAGUAGUAUUGCCAUGAGAAACAAAAUAUAAGAAACCUUUGAACUUUAUACCGGGCAUUUUGUUUCAUUUCAAGUCUUUGUUUUAUGUAUGAUUAGCAAAUGUGUAUCUUUGACAUUUAAUUUCACAAUGAUCAUGAGCCAAGGAAUUUAUUUACACCAUACACAACAAUAGAUUCCCUCAAAUUGAUCCUCCGUGUUACUGAGCUGCAAGUGUUCCACGGCACUUCAUAAAAUGGGAGCAUUUAGAUAAAGUUCUGAUCACAAAAUGGUGGACAGAAGACAUGCGCAGUGUGGAUAUCAUGGAUAAUAUUACACGAUAUGAUAGAUAGACCCUUUCAACAGCACAUGCUUAUUCACACAUUUUCAAUUAUUACGUAUGUAUUGAGUGGGUGACGUAAAUUAAUUGUGUCAAUGUGAAAAAGUGGAAGCUGACUUAACCCUAUAUCUCCUGACUGAUUACACCUACAUAUUCAUUAUUGAAACUAAACAAGCAUGGUUUCAUUUCAUUGGGUGUACCUCAUAAUGUAAUGAUACCAUUUUCUUCUGAAAAACAAAUAUGAAAUGUGAUUAUUAUGUGUAUGAGAAAAUCAAUUUCUGAGAUGGUGAUGUUUAAGAAUUAAGAAUUGGCUUUUUUGUACACAUUUACACUUGAAUAUUGUACAAUCUUAAAGAAAAUUGUAUUUGUGAAAUAUGUUCUAUUCGUCACAUGUGUUUUCUUUUUAGAAAUGGGUUCACAGCUCAACUUAACAUUAUAAAAGUCAAGUAUUCAUUUGAAUUGAAAAUAGAAGAUAUAAUGUCUUUCUAAUGACAAUACCAUUUUCAAUAUAUGUAUAAUGAAGGGCCUUUGGAAAGAAUAUCAAUACAUAACAAAUAACUCUGUAGCUAUAGCAAUGAAUAAUACAAUGAAUUAGUUACUGUCACAAAAUAUGUUGCAUACAUACCUCAAUAGAAAAAGGUGGAACUUUUUACCACAAAGAGCUUACAUUUCAAAUCAAAUCAAAUUGUAUUUGUCACAUGCCCCGAAUACAACAGGUUUAGACCUUGCAGUGAAAUGCUGACUUACAAGCUCGUAACCAACCAUGCUUCAAGAAGUUUUAAUAAAAAUAAGUGUUGGGUAAAAAAUUUGAUAAGUAAAAAAUUGAAAAUAGAAGUAAACAAAAAAUGUAAUGGCAGCAGUAAAAUAACAAUAGUGAGGCUAUAUACAAGGGGGUACUAUAUGAUUAAUAUAGAAUGAAUACAUCAUUGGAAGUGCAUUGAUUAGAUAACAACUGAUAUUACAAAUCAAGAAUGAAUAUCAACCGGGUAAGAAGAAAUCACUUCAAACCUAAAUUGGGCUAUUCCAAAGAAUCUGUCGAAAUUUGUCAACCACAUGUCGAAUUAAAAUCAGGUGCAUCUGCGUGUAAUUGUAACAAAUGAUGCAAUAAUAAACUGCCAUAUAGCAAGUCCUUCAUCUACAAUCAAACAUUGUGAUUUACAUUUUUUUUAAGCUAAAAUAAGUAAUGUCUGCCAACAAGGUUAAGCAUUUUCCCAUGAUCAGAAUUUCAAAAAAGAUGGGAACAAAUUAUUUAUACGUAAAUUAUAUUGAAAGGAUUUUGAAAUAGCAUAUUUUUCCAAUAAAACAUGUAUUCAAAGGAAAUAAGCUCGCACACACCACUCUGGCAAAGUAUCAGUCAUUUACUUCCACGCCAACUUAUUUUCUUUGAAUAACUGUUUCACUCUUCCAAUGCACCUGUUAAGCAACAAGUAACACUCUCUUUAAUUUAAAUAAAACAUUAACACGUAGAAAAUAAUCAUUGAAUUUAUGAAAAUGAACUGCACAGUAUCAUUUGACACAGUAAGCAAGGCUGCAAAUGAUAUAUAUUGACUUCUAAUUGAAGAGGUAUGAACCUUUAUCAGUAACAUUUAACACUUUAACCUCUACAUCUGUAUAUCUGAAUGUAGUCAUCUGUGAAAUUCCAGCAAACCAAUAUGCUAUGGUCAUUAAACAAUGAGCAGUGA